ensembl:piRNA 21ur-1731 ncRNA
UUCCUGUUUUGAAUCGGCUGC